rnacentral:rRNA from 1 species
AGAGCUUGCUCUCGGGUGACGAGCGGCGGACGGGUGAGUAAUGUCUGGGAAACUGCCUGAUGGAGGGGGAUAACUACUGGAAACGGUAGCUAAUACCGCAUAAUGUCGCAAGACCAAAGUGGGGGACCUUCGGGCCUCAUGCCAUCAGAUGUGCCCAGAUGGGAUUAGCUAGUAGGUGGGGUAACGGCUCACCUAGGCGACGAUCCCUAGCUGGUCUGAGAGGAUGACCAGCCACACUGGAACUGAGACACGGUCCAGACUCCUACGGGAGGCAGCAGUGGGGAAUAUUGCACAAUGGGCGCAAGCCUGAUGCAGCCAUGCCGCGUGUGUGAAGAAGGCCUUCGGGUUGUAAAGCACUUUCAGCGGGGAGGAAGGCGUUAAGGUUAAUAACCUUGGCGAUUGACGUUACCCGCAGAAGAAGCACCGGCUAACUCCGUGCCAGCAGCCGCGGUAAUACGGAGGGUGCAAGCGUUAAUCGGAAUUACUGGGCGUAAAGCGCACGCAGGCGGUCUGUCAAGUCGGAUGUGAAAUCCCCGGGCUCAACCUGGGAACUGCAUUCGAAACUGGCAGGCUAGAGUCUUGUAGAGGGGGGUAGAAUUCCAGGUGUAGCGGUGAAAUGCGUAGAGAUCUGGAGGAAUACCGGUGGCGAAGGCGGCCCCCUGGACAAAGACUGACGCUCAGGUGCGAAAGCGUGGGGGAGCAAACAGGAUUAGAUACCCUGGUAGUCCACGCCGUAAACGAUGUCGAUUUGGAGGUUGUGCCCUUGAGGCGUGGCUUCCGGAGCUAACGCGUUAAAUCGACCGCCUGGGGAGUACGGCCGCAAGGUUAAAACUCAAAUGAAUUGACGGGGGCCCGCACAAGCGGUGGAGCAUGUGGUUUAAUUCGAUGCAACGCGAAGAACCUUACCUGGUCUUGACAUCCACAGAACUUUCCAGAGAUGGUUUGGUGCCUUCGGGAACUGUGAGACAGGUGCUGCAUGGCUGUCGUCAGCUCGUGUUGUGAAAUGUUGGGUUAAGUCCCGCAACGAGCGCAACCCUUAUCCUUUGUUGCCAGCGGUUAGGCCGGGAACUCAAAGGAGACUGCCAGUGAUAAACUGGAGGAAGGUGGGGAUGACGUCAAGUCAUCAUGGCCCUUACGACCAGGGCUACACACGUGCUACAAUGGCAUAUACAAAGAGAAGCGACCUCGCGAGAGCAAGCGGACCUCAUAAAGUAUGUCGUAGUCCGGAUUGGAGUCUGCAACUCGACUCCAUGAAGUCGGAAUCGCUAGUAAUCGUAGAUCAGAAUGCUACGGUGAAUACGUUCCCGGGCCUUGUACACACCGCCCGUCACACCAUGGGAGUGGGUUG